rnacentral:rRNA from 1 species
AGUGAACGCUGGCGGUAGGCCUAACACAUGCAAGUCGAACGGCAGCACAGUAAGAGCUUGCUCUUACGGGUGGCGAGUGGCGGACGGGUGAGGAAUACAUCGGAAUCUACUUUUUCGUGGGGGAUAACGUAGGGAAACUUACGCUAAUACCGCAUACGACCUACGGGUGAAAGCAGGGGAUCUUCGGACCUUGCGCGAUUGAAUGAGCCGAUGUCGGAUUAGCUAGUUGGCGGGGUAAAGGCCCACCAAGGCGACGAUCCGUAGCUGGUCUGAGAGGAUGACCAGCCACACUGGAACUGAGACACGGUCCAGACUCCUACGGGAGGCAGCAGUGGGGAAUAUUGGACAAUGGGCGCAAGCCUGAUCCAGCCAUACCGCGUGGGUGAAGAAGGCCUCCGGGUUGUAAAGCCCUUUUGUUGGGAAAGAAAAGCAGCAGGUUAAUACCCCGCUGUUCUGACGGUACCCAAAGAAUAAGCACCGGCUAACUUCGUG